rnacentral:rRNA from 1 species
AGCGAACGUUUGCGGCGGGCCUAACACAUGCAAGUCGAACGGGUUGGCAACAACCAGUGGCGCACGGGUGCGUAACACGUAGGUAAUCUACCCUCAAGUUCGGGAUAACGAUCUGAAAGGAUCGCUAAUACCGGAUGUGUUCCGAAAGGAAGAAAGACCCGCAAGGGUCGCUAGAGGACGAGCCUGCGGCCCAUCAGCUAGUUGGUGAGGUAAUGGCUCACCAAGGCUAAGACGGGUAGCUGGUCUGAGAGGAUGAUCAGUCACACUGGAACUGAGACACGGUCCAGACUCCUACGGGAGGCAGCAGUGGGGAAUAUUGCGCAAUGGGCGAAAGCCUGACGCAGCCACGCCGCGUGAGCGAUGAAGGCCUCGGUC